UACGUAGGGGCCAAGCGUUGUCCGGAUUUAUUGGGCGUAAAGAGCGUGUAGGCGGCUUUACAGGUCCGUUGUGAAAACUCGAGGCUCAACCUCGAGACGCCGGUGGAAACCGUAAAGCUAGAGUCCGGAAGAGGAGAGUGGAAUUCCUGGUGUAGCGGUGAAAUGCGCAGAUAUCAGGAGGAACACCCGUGGCGAAAGCGGCUCUCUGGGACGGUACUGACGCUGAGACGCGAAAGCGUGGGGAGCAAACAGG
rnacentral:rRNA from 1 species